rnacentral:rRNA from 1 species
CCUACGGGGGACAGCAGUGGGGAAUAUUGCGCAAUGGGCGCAAGCCUGACGCAGCGACGCCGCGUGAGGGAUGAAGGUCUUCGGAUCGUAAACUUCUGUCAGCAGGGAAGAAGGGUCUCUCUGCUACUCAGCAGUGAAUUGACGCUACCUGCAAAGGCAGCACCGGCUAACUCCGUGCCAGCAGCCGCGGUAAUACGGAGGGUGCGAGCGUUAAUCGGAAUUACUGGGCGUAAAGCGCGCGUAGGCGGGAGGUCAAGUCACGGGUGAAAUCCCCGGGCUCAACGUGGGGACUGCCUUUGAAACUGGUAAACUGGAGUGUGGGAGAGGAUAGUGGAAUUCCAGGUGUAGCGGUGAAAUCCGUAGAGAUCUGGAGGAACAUCAGUGGCGAAGGCGACUAGCUGGAAAAUAACUGACGCUGAGGAGCGAAAGCGUGGGGAGCAAACAGGAUUAGAUACCCGUGUAGUC